rnacentral:lncRNA from 14 species
AAAACACAAUAAUCAAAGACCAGUCCUAAAAACUCUGCUUUAAUCUUUGUGCUGCCAGACCCAGCCUCCCUUUCAUCUAGGACUCUGCUGUUCUCUUGUUACUCUGCACUCAGAGAGACCACAAGGCUGGAAGAGAGGAAGAAAAAAGACAAGAUUAAACUAAUGAGCAGGUAAGCAGGUUGAUUAUUGUGUCUGAUCCUUCCUUCCUUCCUGUUAAUUUCUCUGAACCAAUUUGGGAGGCAGAGCCCACACUAACGUUGCAACAGGCUGUUGUGGCCAUUUCCUUCCCUACACCCUUUAUCCUAGCGAUAUUCAGGUCUGAUUUGCAGAGCUGCUUUAAGGAUGCAUCAGCCACGCUGGACUGUCUGAUGAUGACAGCAUUUGCCUGCUUUGGGCUUCUGGUGAUUAUAUAUGUGUUAUGGCAUAAUGGUGCAAUCUGCAAGUGGGAGAAAUGGAUGAGCAGCCUCCGGCCUGUUGCUGAAAGCCAUCCUGAGACUCAUAUAGAGGUCAAGGUCAGGAUCUCUGCACUGGGCCUGUGAGUGUCUGCAGGACUUGGAGGUAUCCUGGGAAACAUCCUACAUCCAGCAGGGCACAAAGCAGUUUAAACUGGAAAUGUGGAAAGGGGUGGGAGAAGAAGGUCAAAUCCUUGUGGUGCUGAGCCAGCUCUGGCUCAAAACACUGGGCUUUCUGCAAGUGUUGUGAGUGUUUCUGGCUGUUCCCAGCUCCUGGGGCACAGGGUGAUGCUGUGUGUGCUGUUGCUCUGGGCACACAGGGCUGCAUCCUGGGUCUCGCUUUCCCACGGGGACAGAGGCCAUGUCGAUGCCAUUAGGAAGAGCCACAUCCUGGAUCCCACAUCUCAUUAAUCCAGCCAGUACCACACAAACAAGGAGGAGCCCUGAGCAAGGCUGGUGGAUGAGGUGCUGUGGGCACAGACCCGUACAGUGCAUCCCUUCCUGGAGCACCACUGGCUCCAAGCUCUGCUGGAGCAGAAAAUGGGACACAUCCCUGGGAAGCCUGGUCUUGGCCUCACUGGGAAAUUCAAGCUGAGCAGGAUGCCUGUGUCUGCCAAAGAAGGGAAGCUCUGCUGUCCCUUGCCAUACAGGAAUGACUGAAGUGAGAAAGCUGUAUCUUUGCGGAACGCAAGGAGCAUCAUCAUUCCCUGCUCUGUUGGGCAGUGAUGCAUCAAACCCCCUGCAAAUGCUGAAGGUGUGGUAAUCCCUUGCCCCUACCCUGACUGCUGUGCUUGUUGUCUGGGAAGUCCAGGUUCAGGCUCUCGGCAAACACAGGUGGAAAGUGGCAUCAGCAACCUCCUCCUGCUGCUGAGGAGUGCCUACUGCAAGUGAUGGCCUGAGAACUACUUCACUGGUCUAUUUCUGUGAUGGCUCUGAUGAAUGCUAAGGUUUUGGAGAAGGAUGGAGAGGCCUUUCCAUGACCCCACCAAACUCUGUUACCCUUCAGGGACAGGCAAGCCCCCACACUGAAGAACACUUGACUGAUGGCCAAGGCUCUACAUCAUAACCAUUGCCUCCCUGUUCACACUAAUUGUCCUCCUCACCUGCAGAGUGACAAAUGACAUGGGUUUAAUGGAGAUGGGAUUCCCCUGGCACUCCUCAUAAUCCCUCUAAGCCAUGAAUGAGGAUGUAGGCAGGACAGGGCACACAGGGAGCAGCCUUCAAAAGAGACAUUCCCUCUCUACCUGUGUCAUCCCUAACAGUCAACCCAGACUGAUGUUUCCCCCAGGUAUAUUUCCUCAGCUAAAGCCACUUUGCUUCCUGUAGUAGGAGCAAUAGAGUCAUUUCUCAUGUUCAAAGAGUGCAUUUUGGUUUGGGUCUCUUGCAGAUGAGUACCUCUUCGCACUGCCAUGGUACAGCCAGCCCCUUGGCAGCUCCCAGGCACUGGUCUUAGCAGAGCUGGGUGAUGGGGAAGGAUGGCAGAAGUGGGAAGUAGAGCAAUGGAUUCAACACCCACUCCAAAGCCAUCAGCUCAGUCUAUAAUCUCAUUAUGCAGACCAAACAUCCCAAAACUCCAGGUCAUUAACAAACAGGCC